AUAAAUUUGAAGGGAAAUAACGUAAAUGUUCCUUAGUUGAGGAUCCUAGAUAUUUAGUAGAUUAUGCCACUGUUUCAGUACAGGGAAAACGUCCUGUGCUCGUGUUAUUGCCAAUCAAGCGGGUGUCCCUUUACUAUAUGUUCC